ensembl:lncRNA
GGGUGGCUCUGCAGCCCCUCUCUCUCUCUUUCUCACAUGCACGCUGACAUAAAUGCACACACAGUGAACACGGACCUGUAUCUCUGCGCUGAGGAGGCAACAUCCUUUACUCUUUUUCUCUGUCCUCAGUUUACUGGCUCCUGUUUUUUAGGCAGUGCGUCAGAGGCUGUGCCACACCGAUAUGCCCGGUGAGACUGCACAUCGGAGCGGCCCCACGCAGGGUCUUCUGGACUCUGGAGACCCACAGUCAGAGCUGCCAGGACCAGAUCUGUCUGGUCAAACAUCCAGCUCUUCAGCCUCAACUCCAACAGGCAGUGCCUCCAGUCCUUCUCCCAGCAGCCCUCCAAAACUCUCCCCACUAUGUACUCCUUUUGGACCCCGCCUGGUAAUGGCCAAACCAACCCCUUCUCCUCGCCCACAGCCUGAGGGUGCAAGUUUUGACUUAGAAGGGUAUUCUGGAAAUAUCGGCCGACCAACAGGGCGGUUUGGUAGAGGAGCCUGCAGACGAGGUCCUAUGAAAAUGGAACGGAUCAAAGUCCUGACUGGAUCAGAAAUAGAAAGCGACUUUCAAGAGCCAGAGACCAUGGACUCAAGGGUGGUAAUGGGGCAAGAGGCAUUGCUGAGAAAUAUGGAGACACAAAGUGGAGUGCUUCUAGGAAAGGAGAUAGGUCAAGAAACACCUAGUUCAGGACACCUGCCCUCAGAGCCUUCCAUGAAAUGUCAUAUUGGGCUAGAUGAAAACGCAAAACUAGACACUGGUCAGGUGAGUUCUACUGUAGAUCAGGUUAAGAGUUUGACUUCAGUUCCAGAACAAGAGAAAUUCAUAGGUCAGAUACUUGAAUAUCAAGUCCUAGAGUCCAAAGUGAGAGAUGCUGAAUUGACAGACAGCAGUACUCUUUUUCCAGACAAUGAGGGAGAGCCAGUGUCUUUAUCUCAGGGUGAAGUGCCUUCCUUGUCAUUUUCCGAGCCUCAUUAUAUUGUUGACCCACAACGCAUUGGUGUUCUUCCAGGACUGGAUCCUGAUCGCUACUAUACAGCCCCUUCCACCCCCAUUAAGAUGGCUUACUGCUCGCAUCUCAAGCAACAAUGGCGCCCAGGGAGCCCGAGUCAAAGUCCAGGUUCCCCAACUGAUGAGUCUGAUCUGUGCUCCCCUCCUACCUCUCCCUCUGGUUCCUACAUGACUGCUGAGGGAGGCAGCUGGACUUCAUACACCUCCAGCACCUCCCACUCAUGCUCUCCAAAUUUAACAGCUGAGGCAGAGUUGCAAGAAGCUCCUGCUUGCUAUGUGGGUUGCCUCUCAGAGAUUGGCGAUGAGCUUGGAGAUGAUCGAACUGGUAACGAGAGGGAUGCUUGUCUGGGUAAAGCUGAUUUGCCAGAGUUGCUGGAAGAUGUGCCUUGUGAAGUGGAUAUACUAACAAGGGACACCUGUAGUCCUCAUUGGGUGACAGAACAUGAUUCCACACAAGAGAGCAGCAGGAGAAGAACAGACUGCCAGGAGGACACAAGGGUGUCUGAGGGCUCUCUGAGGCCUAGCGAUUUCCAGAGAGCCCCUGAUGCAACUCAAGCUUUUAGUGAUCCACAACAAAGUCUUGAAAUGGAUUUCAAUGCCUGUUUCUCAGAGCCAUCUGUGAGCCUAACACCAGACAAUAAUGCAGCUGGAGCACUGGAUACAGAGAGCAAAACCCCUGUCUCCCACUCUCCAGAGACUGCAGACAUAAAAAGUAAUAGCAGUAAUAGUUUAUAUCUCGAGAUAGGUUCCUCUGCUCCUCUGUUCCAUGGCUAUUCUAGAGAGGAUGGGCUUGAGAGUGAUGCAAUGAUUCCUGCUUCUAUGUUGCCAUUCCAUGGAAGCCUGAUAUUCCAGGCAGAUUCCAUGGAUAUAAUCCUGUUCCCCACUGAUGAUGAGCCGGGGAAUGAUGUGGAUGCAUAUGCUGCUGGAGAGGAGGAAGCCGAUGUAGAUGAGUAUGAUGAUGAGGAGGAUGAAGAUGAAUGUGAUGAAGAAGAUGUGGAUAAUGACGAGGCAGAGCAACAAGAGGCAGCUUUGGGGGUUGGAAGGGAAGUAGAAGUCCCAAAUGAAGAUGACACCUCUGCAUCUUUCCUAAAUUCCCUUUCAGAGAACUCAAUAAAUGAGGGUGUAGAUGAGUCCUUUGCUUAUCAGGAUGACACUGAGGACUCAAUUGAUUCCACGUCUUAUAAUGGGGAUGAAAAUGACCAUCUGUACUGCACAGAGAAGCAUGCAGAACUCUCCCAACAGUUCCCUGGGCCAGAUGAACCUGUGCAUUCAGUAAGCCAUGCUAAACCCGAAUCUUCUGGCAGUGACAGUGAAUUGGAGAUAUCCUCUGGAUCAUCUGAGCGUCCACGUGUAGAACUGCAAGGGAAUCUGGCAGACUGCAGUGUUCAUGGUGAAAGUGUAAUCGCACAACAAUUUUCAGAAACAAAGUUGCUGAAGGGUGAGCUUUCAAAAGAAUCAACUACAGAGAUCAAAACAACUGAUGAGAAAGGCAAACAGAGUACAGAUCCCUCAACAGUCACGGUUACUUCAGAGAAAGGACAGCAGAUUGCCACAGAUGAUCCAACAUUAUUUGUUGAUCAAGACAAAGUCGAACAAAAUAAUAGGCCCGUUGAUUCCUGUGUGGCAGGUGCUACAGCUGCUGACAUGUGCUUUGAGAUUAAUGUAGAUGAUAGCCAGAAUUUGGAUCAGAAAACUGCAAAUAGUAUGGAGUUGGACACAUCAUUGCAGUUAGCAGAAACUGCAACCAAUGACUUAAAUAAAGGAGUCCCCCAACUAACAUACCUGGAUGACUGCAGCCCCACAAACAUUCCAGUUUGUGCCUAUCCUGAACUAUGUGAGUUGCCAGAUAACUUAACAUCAACAGAUGUUUUACCAUUUGAACGUUCCAUGAAUCAAGAUAAUCUGACAGAGAAUCAACCUGGCAAUGAUGAUGUAAACCAAAGCUCUCAAAAUAUGUCCUGCUCCACAUACAGCAGACUUGUCAUUUCACCAAAGAAAGAGAACUCUGAGAGCAGUAUGACAGAAAGGGAACUUUACCCUGACAGUUGGACACCAAGGGAUCCCCUGUCUUUAGGUGAAUGCUGUAACUUUGAGGCUGAAAAUCUACUCAUGUGUGAGAUAGCUAGAUCAGUGCACAGUAAAGAUUUGCCAGUCACUCAUAACAUAGCCACUGGAGAAGACAACAUGGCUGAUGAUGAGGACAACAACCGAUAUUGUGACCUCCAAGAGAAAAUGGCUGACAUUGAUGUUGGUGUGGUUGAGUCAAACAUUGCCAGCUGGAGAUCGAUUCAAGAUCUUUCAGAGGCAGGAGGGGGUGAGGAUGAUGCAAAUAAUCUUCAAAAUCCAGAGAGCAAUCCGAUUAUACACUGCAGUCCUGAUAAGGGUCUGGUGCCAUCGUGGAAUGAUCCAGAAAAAACUUGCACGCCCUUAAUCCUGAGUGCUCCAUCAGACCUUACAUUGAAUAUGCUUUCAGAUGAUGGGAAAGAUGGGAAAGAUCAAACUCCAAAUACAGAGUUCAACAUUCCAGAGGGUUUAUCUUCAGACACAUUAAGGAAGGAAAGUGAUGAAAUAACUUCUGAACAGUCUCAGGAUCUGGAAUCUUGUCAAGAACCUGAUAAUGUCAUGUUAACAGCAACCAUCUCCCCAGAACGCACUGAUCUUUGUGAAUCUUCUAACAAAACAGUCAUUUCUAACCAAUCAGAUAACCUUAGUCCAGUUUUAAAUAAGGGUCAUUCAAAUUCUCAACAGAUUACCUUAACAAGCACUGACUCUGUCUCGGAAAACAAGCUCACAUUCAACUUGCAAGGAGGAUCGUUUGGCACCUUCACAUUCAGAAAGAAACCAACUGAUAUAAAGAUUGUUGACCCCUCAGAAUUAACAAUUCUCCAACAGAUUUCUGUCUCACAUAAAGAGACAAAUUCCUAUGAUGGGUCUUCAAAUGAGGUUGUGGGGGAGAAAGUAAUUCAGCUAAGAGCACACAUCAAAAAUGAAACAGUAACUGAUGAAGCUAAAACCACUGACAGACAACUUCUUGAACAAGAGACUACAACUGACGUUCAGGAUCAGGAGAUAGAUAAAUCAGACUCCCAUGAGAAGGGAAACGAGGGACUGAAAACAUGUCAAAAGAGAGAAGAACAAGAUUUUACAGAGAGUAUUUCAUUUCUGGAGCAGAACAAAGAUCUUGAUGAUAAUUCACAUAAAUCAGGUCUUUCUCAAGCUGACAGUGAUGAGGCAACACCAAAAACAGCACAGAUUGCUAAUUCAAGUCAUGCCACGAAACCAAAGGUAAUUGAUGCCCUUAAAACCAACAUUGCAGAUUUAGCCACAAUGGACAAUGAAAAGAUCCAGUGCCAAGGAGAGAAAAUGGAGACUACAGAUAAUCAAGCGCCAAGUUCUGAUAGAUUUUCAAUGAGAGAGGAAUUUGGUGAAACUCAGCAGAAUGAGGAUGUCUCUAUAACGGAGAACACCAAACUUGAUCAAACACCAGAACAAUCAAUUUUUCACUCCCCUGACCCUAUCUAUAUUGAGCCAAAAGAGCCUGUUCUUACAGAGCCAGUAGUUGUAUCUCAGACAACAGACCUUAGGAAUAACCAGUUUGGAAUCAGCAGCAUGGGAAACAGAGAAACAAACACCAACUUUGGUUCCUAUUCAAGACAUGUUUGA